rnacentral:tRNA from 1 species
GCCCCCGUAGCUCAAUAGGACAGAGCACCUGCCUUCUAAGCAGUACGCUGCGCGUUCGAGUCGCGCCGGGGGCG